rnacentral:misc_RNA from 1 species
CAAACAAGCUAUGCAGACAUGUUGGAUUUGGCAGUGCAGCACAUCAAAGUCCUUCAAAAUGAAGUUCAGAAACUACAAAAUGAAUUGGAAAAUUGUACGUGCGGAUGCGGACCAACCAAAUAACAUUUUGGCUAACUGGGAUUUUCAUGAAACAAGAUUUUGUCCAAGGAUUUUGAAGGCAAGCUGGCCAAGGGACUCGGCCCAGGUUAAUUUUGUCACUGUACCAAGUUUAACUUAAUAAUGCAAAGUAGAGGAUUAGAAACUCUAAAUUGUAUAUAAAGAAUUUACUAGUGUUAAUGUGUAGUUCAUCUGAAAAAGAUUUUUGUAAAAUGGUGUUCAAAUUCCAUUCCUUUUGAGUAUUUUGCAAGUUGCAGCCUUUGUGAGGAUGCUUUGGUUUUUUAAUUUAGGUGGUCUUGAACUUGAAAUGAAAAUCACUUGUAUUUCACUUGUAGUUGGUUCAUGCAUGCUACAGUGAGCACCAAUUAUUUGUGGGGCUCAAGUACCUAAAAUUUGUUAAGAAAGUAAAAAGGGAUGUUAAAUUUCAGUUUUCU